AUUGAACGCUGGCGGCAGGCCUAACACAUGCAAGUCGAACGAGUGGCGGACGGGUGAGUAAUGUUUGGGAAUCUAGCUGAUGGAGGGGGAUAACUACGGGAAACUGUAGCUAAUACCGCGUACCAUAGGAUGAGCCCAGAUGGGAUUAGGUAGUUGGUGAGGUAAAGGCUCACCAAGCCGACGAUCUCUAGCUGGUCUGAGAGGAUGACCAGCCACACUGGAACUGAGAAACGGCCCAGACUCCUACGGUAGGCAGCAGGGGGGAAUAUUGCGCAAUGGGGGCAACCCGGAUGCAGCCAUGCCGCGGGAAUGAAGAAGGCCGUCGGGUUGUAAAGUACGUUCGGUGGCGAGGCGUUAACUACAGAAGAAGCACCGGCUAACUCCGUGCCAGCAGCCGCGGUAAUUC
rnacentral:rRNA from 1 species